rnacentral:rRNA from 1 species
ACGAACGCUGGCGGCGCGUCUUAAGCCUGCCGGUCGAACGGCAAGAGAGGAGCUUGCUUCUCUCCUAGAGUGGCGGACUGGUGAGGAACACGUGGGUAAUCUACCCUUAAGAUGGGGAUAGCUGCUAGAAAUAGCAGGUAAUACCGAAUACACUCGGCAUAUCACAAGAGGUGUUGAGGAAAGGAAGCUACGGCUUCGCUUGAGGAUGAGCUUGCGUCCCAUUAGCUAGUUGGUGAGGUAAAGGCCCACCAAGGCGACGAUGGGUAUCCGGCCUGAGAGGGUGAACGGACACAUUGGGACUGAGAUACGGCCCAAACUCCUACGGGAGGCAGCAGCUAAGAAUAUUCCGCAAUGGACGGAAGUCUGACGGAGCGACGCCGCGUGGAUGAAGAAGGCUGAAAAGUUGUAAAAUCCUUUUGUUGAUGAAGAAUAAGGGUGAGAGGGAAUGCUCAUCUGAUGACGGUAAUCGACGAAUAAGCCCCGGCUAAUUACGUG